CCUACGGGUUGCAGCAGUGGGGAAUAUUGGACAAUGGGCGAAAGCCUGAUCCAGCAAUGCCGCGUGUGUGAAGAAGGUCUUCGGAUUGUAAAGCACUUUCGACGGGGACGAUGAUGACGGUACCCGUAGAAGAAGCCCCGGCUAACUUCGUGCCAGCAGCCGCGGUAAUACGAAGGGGGCUAGCGUUGCUCGGAAUGACUGGGCGUAAAGGGCGCGUAGGCGGUUUAUGCAGUCAGAUGUGAAAUCCCCGGGCUUAACCUGGGAACUGCAUUUGAGACGCAUAGACUAGAGGUCGAGAGAGGGUUGUGGAAUUCCCAGUGUAGAGGUGAAAUUCGUAGAUAUUGGGAAGAACACCGGUGGCGAAGGCGGCUUACUGGUCUGCAACUGACGCUGAGGCGCGAAAGCGUGGGGAGCAAACAGGAUUAGAUACCCCCGUAGUC
rnacentral:rRNA from 1 species